GUGAGCCGUAUGAUGGGCAACUAUCUCCUGCGGUUCGGAGAGGACUCAGCUGUUAGUUAGUACCCCCUUGGUUUUGGGGUGGACCCUUUCACUAUAUUUUAUUAUAU
rfam:Triticum aestivum genome assembly, contig: Triticum_aestivum_CS42_TGACv1_scaffold_179259_2DS